rnacentral:rRNA from 1 species
AUUGAACGCUGGCGGCAGGCCUAACACAUGCAAGUCGAGCGGAGCGGCGGACGGGUGAGUAAUGCCUAUGUAUCUGCCUGGUAGUGGGGGAUGACGUCCGGAACCGGGCGCUAAUACUGCAUACUAUCAGAUGAGCCUAGGUGGGAUUAGGUAGUUGGUGGGGUAAGGGCCCACCUAGGCGACGAUCCGUAACUGGUCUGAGAGGAUGAUCAGUCACACUGGAACUGAGACACGGUCCAGACUCCUACGGGAGGCAGCAGUGGGGAAUAUUGGACAAGGGGCGCAAGCCUGAUGCAGCCAUGCCGCGUGUAUGAAGAAGGUCUUCGGAUUGUAAAGCACUUUAAGUUGGGAGGCGUUACCAACAGAAGAAGCACCGGCUAACUUCGUGCCAGCAGCCGCGGUAAUAC